rnacentral:lncRNA from 1 species
UCUUAUUAGAAGUCAAAAUCCCACUAGAUUACAUAUUCAAGCACUUAACUACCUUCUCAUAAAUAAAAAUGUUGGAUAAUGAGACUGCAUGGACAAUGAGAGCAUUUCAGUAUUUCAGAAAAUAUGCAUUUGUAGAGUCUAAGGAUUUCGUCUUUUGAUGCUCUGAUCUUGCCUCCUCUCUUCCGUUUUCUUUUUUAUUUCUGUCCUCCUAUUGUAAUAUUUGUCUUUCUUGUCGCUCGCCCCAUCGCUUUCGUCUGUAUUUCAAGGUUGUCAAUGUCGUCUUCAUCUGAAUCCUUGUCUAACCCUUCGUCGAUUCCAACUUCCUCGAUUCCAACUUCCUCUUAUUGACGAUGACUGUACAUAUUCGAGAUUUUGUGAGAGGGAAAGAGAUGUUUAUGUCACUGAUUCCAACUUCCUCUUAUUGAGGAUGACUAUACAUAUUCGAGAUUUUGUGAGAGGGAAAGAGAAAGAAAUCCAUUGUUGGUCGAUGUUUAUGUCACUAUUCAUGCUCUUAGAAGUGUCACUGAUAGUGUUAAAUAGAUGCAAAACAGAUUCACUAAUUGUGUUUAUAAAUGCAAAACAGAUUCACUAAUUGUGUUUAUAAAUGCAAAACAGAGAUCCUUCUAAUGGAAAAUUUUACUCAAUGAAACAGUUAUUCACCAGAAAUUCAAAAACCUGAACGAGUUUUUAAAAAUUAAUUCCAAAAUUCAAACCUGAGUAGUUUUUCUAGAAUCUAACAUCCGAUUUGAUUGAGAAAAAGAAACAACUCUGUAAAAUCAUAAAAAUAUUCAACAGAAAACAAAAAACCCAUAUCUU